CUCCAUUUAUACCCCAAAUCAUUAUAUUGAUAUAUAAAACAAUAUGACAUUGAUUACUAACAAAUACAAUUGCUUGCAUGUAUAUUCAUUGAAGUAUUUUACCAUAAUUCUAAAAAAUGUGAUAUAAUCUUUAUGAAUUGUGUGUCCUCAACAAACAACCUCUGGUUACACCAUUUCCAUAUAACAUGACAUGAAGUUGCCCAGUCCCUUAAAGCAUGCAUAAUGGUUUCAUCUCUUCCUCCAUAUUCUGCACACUCUGCAUCAGUGAGCUACCUUUGAGCAAGGAAUAAAUUUGUUUACAACCCUUUAUGAUGAAAUAUAGCCAUAUGAACAUUCAUAUUCUUUUUAAAACAUUGAUCCUCCAAAUGUUCUUCCAAUCCUUCCCAAGAUCAUUUGUCGCUUUGUGUGUGCUUGUUGCAUUAGUAGUUGAUAUAGUGAAGCUUCCUAAAAGAAUUCAUCUUACCCUAAAUCUUGCCUUGGAGGAUGGAUAUCUACAAUUAGCUCCAAAAUUUCUAUCUUGAAGCAUGCCUACAAUGUUUUCUUAUCCCACCCCCCAUUUCCAUUAAUGAAUCAAACAACUUUGUAACUUUGAUGAGUAUUCAGGUUAACAUUGA